rnacentral:rRNA from 1 species
AACCAACGCUGGUGGCGUGCCUAAUACAUGCAAGUCGAACGGGGAAAGCUUUCGGGUGAGUACUAGUGGCGCACGGGUGAGGAACGCGUGGAUAAUCUGCCUUAGAGUGGGGGAUAACUAGUCGAAAGAUUAGCUAAUACCGCAUAAGACCACGAGAGCUGCGGCUUUUGAGGUCAAAGGUUUUUCGCUCUAAGAUGAGUCCGCGUAAGAUUAGCUAGUUGGUGAGGUAACGGCUCACCAAGGCGACGAUCUUUAACUGGUCUGAGAGGAUGAUCAGUCACACUGGAACUGAGACACGGUCCAGACUCCUACGGGAGGCAGCAGUAGGGAAUAUUGCACAAUGGAGGAAACUCUGAUGCAGCGACGCCGCGUGAGUGAUGAAGGCCUUCGGGUCGUAAAGCUCUGUCGCAGGGGAAUAACACAAUGAAGGUACCCUGUAAGAAAGGAUCGGCUAACUUCGUG